rnacentral:rRNA from 2 species
GACGAACGCUGGCUGCGUGCUUAACACAUGCAAGUCGAACGCUGAAGCCGACAGCUUGCUGUUGGUGGAUGAGUGGCGAACGGGUGAGUAACACGUGAGUAACCUGCCCCUGAUUUCGGGAUAAGCCUGGGAAACUGGGUCUAAUACCGGAUACGACCAACCCUCGCAUGAGGGUUGGUGGAAAGUUUUUCGAUCGGGGAUGGGCUCGCGGCCUAUCAGCUUGUUGGUGGGGUAAUGGCCUACCAAGGCGACGACGGGUAGCCGGCCUGAGAGGGCGACCGGCCACACUGGGACUGAGACACGGCCCAGACUCCUACGGGAGGCAGCAGUGGGGAAUAUUGCACAAUGGGGGAAACCCUGAUGCAGCGACGCAGCGUGCGGGAUGACGGCCUUCGGGUUGUAAACCGCUUUCAGCAGGGAAGAAGCGAAAGUGACGGUACCUGCAGAAGAAGUACCGGCUAACUACGUGCCAGCAGCCGCGGUAAUACGUAGGGUACGAGCGUUGUCCGGAAUUAUUGGGCGUAAAGAGCUCGUAGGUGGUUGGUCACGUCUGCUGUGGAAACGCAACGCUUAACGUUGCGCGUGCAGUGGGUACGGGCUGACUAGAGUGCAGUAGGGGAGUCUGGAAUUCCUGGUGUAGCGGUGAAAUGCGCAGAUAUCAGGAGGAACACCGGUGGCGAAGGCGGGACUCUGGGCUGUAACUGACACUGAGGAGCGAAAGCAUGGGGAGCGAACAG